rnacentral:rRNA from 1 species
UCCGUAGGUGAACCUGCGGAGGGAUCAUUGCUGGAACGCGCUUCGGCGCACCCAGAAACCCUUUGUGAACUUAUACCUAUUGUUGCCUCGGCGUAGGCCGGCCUCUUCACUGAGGCCCCCUGGAAACAGGGAGCAGCCCGCCGGCGGCCAACUAAACUCUUGUUUCUUUAGUGAAUCUCUGAGUAAAAAACAUAAAUGAAUCAAAACUUUCAACAACGGAUCUCUUGGUUCUGGCAUCGAUGAAGAACGCAGCGAAAUGCGAUAAGUAAUGUGAAUUGCAGAAUUCAGUGAAUCAUCGAAUCUUUGAACGCACAUUGCGCCCUCUGGUAUUCCGGAGGGCAUGCCUGUUCGAGCGUCAUUUCAACCCUCAAGCCUGGCUUGGUGAUGGGGCACUGCCUGUAAAAGGGCAGGCCCUGAAAUCUAGUGGCGAGCUCGCCAGGACCCCGAGCGUAGUAGUUAUAUCUCGCUCUGGAAGGCCCUGGCGGUGCCCUGCCGUUAAACCCCCAACUUCUGAAAAUUUGACCUCGGAUCAGGUAGGAAUACCCGCUGAACUUAA